rnacentral:tRNA from 1 species
GGUCUCAUGGUGUAACGGUUAGCACUCUGGACUCUGAAUCCAGCAAUCCAAGCUCAAAUCUCGGUGAGACCU